AAGUGGAGCAAUCCAUGAGUAAAGUGGCGACCGGGUGAGUAACACGUGACUAACCUACCUUUCAGUGGGGAAUAACCUCGGGAAACCGGGGCUAAUACCGCAUAACGUCUUCGGACCAAAGGAGCAAUUCGCUGGAAGAGGGGGUCGCGGCCGAUUAGCUAGUUGGUGGGGUAACGGCCCACCAAGGCAAUGAUCGGUAGCCGGCCUGAGAGGGCGCACGGCCACACUGGAACUGAAACACGGUCCAGACUCCUACGGGAGGCAGCAGUGGGGAAUUUUGCGCAAUGGGGGAAACCCUGACGCAGCAACGCCGCGUGGAGGAUGAAGCCCCUUGGG
rnacentral:rRNA from 1 species